AUCCAGCUGACUAGUAGCGAAUAGGACGAAACACGCGUCCUGGAU
rnacentral:hammerhead_ribozyme from 1 species